UACGAAGGGGGCUAGCGUUGCUCGGAUUGACUGGGCGUAAAGGGUGCGUAGGUGGCGCCGUAAGUCAGGUGUGAAAUCUCGGGGCUUAACUCCGAAACUGCAUUUGAUACUGCGGUGCUUGAGGACUGGAGAGGAGACUGGAAUUUACGGUGUAGCGGUGAAAUGCGUAGAUAUCGUAAGGAAGACCAGUGGCGAAGGCGGGUCUCUGGACAGUUCCUGACACUGAGGCACGAAGGCCAGGGGAGCAAACGGG
rnacentral:rRNA from 1 species